GGGUUCGGAAUAGUUUCCGAAGGUUGUCACGGAUGGUCGGGCCGCCAUCU
rnacentral:ncRNA from 1 species